rnacentral:rRNA from 1 species
GACGAACGCUGGCGGCGUGCCUAACACAUGCAAGUAGGACGCAGUCGCGAACGUAAGAGUAACGCGUCGGUCAUUACCUAUUAGAGGGGGAUAACUAUUGGAAACGAUAGCUAAUACCGCAUAUUUGUAGAUGGACCUGCGUUGUAUUAGCUAGUAGGUAGGGGAAUGGCCUACCUAGGCAACGAUACAUAGCCGGGCUGGGAGGGUGAUCGGACACAAUGGGACUGGGACACGGCCCAGACUCCUACGGGAGGCAGCAGUAGGGAAUCAUCGGCAAUGGGGGGAACCCUGACCGAGCAACGCCGCGUGAGUGAAGAAGGUUUUCGGAUCGUAAAGCUCUGUUGUUAAGGAAGCGGUACUUAACCAGAAAGGGACGGCUAACUACGUGCCAGCAGCCGCGGUAAUAC